rnacentral:rRNA from 1 species
UAGGGAAUCUUCCACAAUGGACGCAAGUCUGAUGGAGCAACGCCGCGUGAGUGAAGAAGGUUUUCGGACCGUAAAGCUCUGUUGUUGGUGAAGAAGGAUAGAGGUAGUAACUGGCCUUUAUUUGACGGUAAUCAACCAGAAAGUCACGGCUAACUACGUGCCAGCAGCCGCGGUAAUACGUAGGUGGCAAGCGUUGUCCGGAUUUAUUGGGCGUAAAGCGAGCGCAGGCGGAAGAAUAAGUCUGAUGUGAUAGCCCUCGGCUUAACCGAGGAAUUGCAUCGGAAACUGUUUUCUUGAGUGCAGAAGAGGAGAGUAGAACUCCAUGUGUAGCGGUGGAAUGCGUAGAUAUAUGGAAGAAUACCAGUGGCGAAGGCGGCUCUCUGGUCUGCAACUGACGCUGAGGCUCGAAAGCAUGGGUAGCGAACAGGAUUAGAUACCCUGGUAGUCCAUGCCGUAAACGAUGAGUGCUAAGUGUUGGGAGGCUUCCGCCUCUCAGUGCUGCAGCUAACGCAUUAAGCACUCCGCCUGGGGGAGUACGACCGCAAGGUUGAAAC